rnacentral:rRNA from 1 species
UGGGGAAUUUUUGGACAAUGGGCGAAAGCCUGAUCCAGCAAUGCCGCGUGUGUGAAGAAGGCCUUCGGGUUGUAAAGCACUUUUGUCCGGAAAGAAAUCCUUGGCUCUAAUACAGUCGGGGGAUGACGGUACCGGAAGAAUAAGCACCGGCUAACUACGUGCCAGCAGCCGCGGUAAUACGUAGGGUGCAAGCGUUAAUCGGAAUUACUGGGCGUAAAGCGUGCGCAGGCGGUUUGCUAAGACCGAUGUGAAAUCCCCGGGCUCAACCUGGGAACUGCAUUGGUGACUGGCAGGCUAGAGUAUGGCAGAGGGGGGUAGAAUUCCACGUGUAGCAGUGAAAUGCGUAGAGAUGUGGAGGAAUACCGAUGGCGAAGGCAGCCCCCUGGGCCAAUACUGACGCUCAUGCACGAAAGCGUGGGGAGCAAACAGGAUUAGAUACCCUGGUAGUCCACGCCCUAAACGAUGUCAACUAGUUGUUGGGGAUUCAUUUCCUUAGUAACGUAGCUAACGCGUGAAGUUGACCGCCUGGGGAGUACGGUCGCAAGAUUAAAACUCAAAUGAAUUGACGGGGUCAUAGCUG